CGUUAACUAGGUGCGAUACACCAGGCCAGUAGUGAGGGUGAUAGAGAAGGUCCUGUAUGCAGAUAAGGAGCUGACUCAAGGACCAACGCUGUAACUCCACAAGGGGAGGGAGCUUUGUUUUUCUUACUCAUGUGUCCCAAGUGCUUCAAACAAUGACUCGGAUCCUUCACGCAAAGACUCCUCUGGUUUCAACUGAAUGUGGACCGUGCACAGUUGUAGUUUUUUGGCCUGAAGCUUAGGAACACAGGGCUUCUGCUGACCUAGGCUGCUCCGGAGCUGGGGAAUUCCUUGGCCUUGACUAUCUCCCUGGACUGUUUAAUCUUUGAAAGAAUACCUAAAUU